UUCCUCGUUCUCUCUUUCGCAAAUUCCCCUUCUAAAACCCUCUCUUCGCAGCACCCCACUAGCCCAGUUGACUCUCCCUUUCCCCACUGCUAACAGCCGUACAGCCAACCUCUGUUCACGCUGGAUCGCAGCCGCACGCACGACGAGGUUCACCGCCGCUCUAGUCCGUGCCACCCACAGUCGUUCAAGCCGUCAGACGCCAGCACCAUUCGACAAACCAUCGAGACUCAAUCGCUCGUUUUGUGUCGCUUGCCCUACGCAUCAGCCACCAGAGUUUAUCAGCCCUGCAAAUCCACCGUCGUUCUCACCAGUUGCGCUCAGUCGUCGCCCAGACGGCUGAUCGCCAAUUUUUUUCUCUUUUUUUCCAACUCUGUCAGUCCCGCCAUUUCGCACUUGUAGAUGACUGAGCCAUCAUCAAACUGGUGUUUAACUCGUCUAGUAGUUGUCGCUUAUUUGCUGAUACCUUAGAUUUGGGUUUGGAGCCUUUGGAGUCGUUGUCCAGCAACAUUAAGGAUCAAUUUUCGAUGUUUUUGGCAAGUUGGUCAAGGCUCGAGUGAAGGGUCGAUUUGAGCAAACACUUCGGAUAAGUGUUUUGGAUGUAUUGGUAUGAAUUUGUGAUUUGGGCUAUAAUGUAGCAUCUUCUGUAAUGAUUUACUUUUUGAAUAUUUGAUGAUGAGAUUUAUUUUGAAGUGUUGGAAGGAGUUGAGUUGCUAUCCAAUAGGUUUGAGAGCGAUCUUGGCAAGGUUUUGGUAAGUUUGGAGGUUAGUGUUAAUAGUUCUUUGUUACCCAUUGAAGUAUUUGUCUAAUAAUUGAGUUAUUUUCAAUUUUUGAUGUUUAAUUCAAAGAUUUCAAGGGAUUGGAGCAACUAUCCAGCAAUGUUAACUAUGUUUGGACGUUUUGAUAGGUAUUAAGGUCUUGAAACUCUUUUGGAAUUGUUACAUAGUUAUUAGAAUCUGUUGUAACCAUUAUUAUUGAACUUUUCGUAGGUUGGAUUACUUUGUUGUAGUUUUGAAGUGGCAUUUGAAUCAAGCCACACUUUGGGUAAUCUUUUUAGAGUUAAUUGGUUAUUUUUUUGGUUAUUUUGGUGAAUGAAUUUUUGAAGAAUAAUUGAUACAAUAGCUAACAAAAAAAUGCUAUAAAAGACUUUAAUAGUCUUUUUUGAAGGUCAUGACAACCCACGUUAUUAAAAGUCAGAGACUUUUUAUAGCCUUUUUGUACAACUAUAAUGGAUGGUAUAAUAGAGUAUGAAGAUAUAGUAUGUAUACAUGGCUAUGAAAAUAUUCAAUAGCAUUAGUCAUUAAAGCUAUAUUUAACAUAGAAUAGCUUGCUCUCAAUGCUAUCUUUAUUAUAUAAUAGCAUUUUCUUAAUGUUUUAUUUGACAUAUAAUAACGUUUUUUUAAGGCUAUUAUAUCAUAUAUAUAGUUUUAAUCUUAUGUUAUAACAAACAACAUUGAAAUUAUGUCCAUUUACAUUACACACUUGUUUUAACAUAUGGAAUAAUUCACAAUCUAUGUAUUAAAUACAAUGAUUUCCUUUCAUUAUUGAAAUUUAGUAAUCAAUUUACAUUAGAAACUAAAAAAAUUAUCCAAUAAUAUAAAAAAUACAUCAAAUGUAAUUUUCAACCGUACAAGGCUCACAAAAUACAAAAUUCAUCAAGUUUUGAGGAUUGUAGCAUCAUGGAAUUGAGCUUCCAUCCUGGAUCUUCAUCUACCUACAUAAAAAGUGAAUUAACAUCAAAUUGGUUCCCAAAAUCACAAUUGAAUGUCAAAACUAUAUAAAAAGUACAUAAUUGUCAAAUACAAGCAAUGGUCAUGAAAUCUAAACAUAUGAAAAUAGUAAUAAAAUAGAAACAAAGUCACAAUGAAUAAAUAUGUUAAAAAAAAUUCAAACAAUAUGUAAAAUAUGGAGAUGUUUUACAAUUCUAAAAUCAAUAAUAGACUAAAAUGUAACUUGUUUACCCAUUAAGAAAAAAAAAAGCAAAAAAUAGGCAUGAUAAACAUGCUAAAAUAAUACUUUUCCACUUGCGUUUCAUUGACAAAAGGAUUCCAAUCUUGUCUAUAGCCACGAACCUACAAAUAAUAUUCAUGGUAAUAAUAGAACAAGAAACAAUUGAAGGUGAGAAGAGAAAUAGUGUAGAACAAGAGAGAAAAAAAGAAAUUGUUAUCAAAAGAAUAAGAAAGCCAUAAUUCAAAAUGUUCUAAAAGAUGUUUUAAACUGAAAUUUGAGCAUUUGUAUGUAUUACUCGCUUUAAAAGUCUCUCCUGUUUGAAUUGGGCGAGCAUCGAGUGGGUUUUGUUUUGCAGCAGAUCGAGUUCUUCACAAUGGGAGAAUUCUGGACCAGAUCGAGGACCGGAUCAAGACUUGGAUUGAGUUCGAUCGAGGAUCGAGUUCUAGAACAUAUUGAGUUCUUCACAAUGGGGAUCAAGUAUCGAGUUUUGGACCGGAUCGAGGAUCGAGUUCUUCACAGUGUGGACGAGUUAUUGACAGUGGGGAUCGAGGAUUGAGUUUUGGAUAGAUCGAGAAUCGAGUUAUAACAUAAAAUUUUUAGACUAGAGUUACAGAAUCAUCAACCAUCAGAGGAAACAAAACCCAAUACAUAAUUACAUUCCAUUUAGCUAGCUCAAUUUCCUUCAAGUGUAGAAACUAUAAUCGAACAACAACCAAACACAAAUGGUAAUCAAUUGGCAAUGGAAAACGUAAAAAGGAAAAUCCAAAAUCAAAUAAAAAAAAGGAAAUGAAAAUGGAUCUAAGGAUGAGUAAAGAGAGGAAAAUCACAUUCACCAAAGUUGUUACAACCGACGGAGAUGAUGGAAAAUCAGUCGUCGACGGUGGAAUGCGGGCGCACAUUUUAGAGCAUUGUGCGAAGUUGAGAAUGAUGAAGAGAGGAAUGAAAAUGAUAUGAGUUUCAAGUGCUGAAAAUUUGAGAAAAUAAAUGUUAGAUUUGAGAGAAAGAAGAUUGGGAUUUUGUGUGGAGAGACGAAGAAAGGAAAGAAGAGAAAUAGAGAAAAAGGAAAUAUGAGUUUUGUGUGUUUGAAGAAGUGGUGAAACGCGUGACCUCCAAAAUUUUGCGUGUUUGGGCAGAUAACUACGAAAUUUUGAGUGCACCCCUAAAAUUUGAUUUUUAACAUUUUUUUUCUUUUUUUAAGAGUUUCUAUAGCCUAUUUUUAAAAAGGCUAUGUCCAAGAGCUAUAAUAAGUCAUAUUUGUUGUAGUAUAAGAUUGGGCUUCCAAUAUUCUCUAUUUUUUAUUGUGAAAGUUGGGGGAAAGGUAUCUGCAUUCUUCUAUUUUAAAUUUUAGCAUAUAUUUGAUUUGUUGAUAAUCUUCUUCCACUUUAUUAUAUUUUCUCAAAUCUCUCCCACCUUUCUUUGUUUUGCAGUCAAAGGUAAUUGUUCCUCCUAAGGUUGGAUAUGGUUAAAAGAGAAUGAAUGAAAUCUUAGUUGACUUGCUUAAACAUGGCUUGUCUGAUCUUUAAUUCUCAAUCUUUAGACUUCAAAACUCAAUGUAUAGAUUAAAUAAUGUAUUUUAUUGAGAGGUUAUUUAUUAAACAAUUUGUCACUUUUGUGUUUGGUGAAAGUUGAGUUUGUAUAUAAAAGCAAUAGUUGAGAUUUUAUUUUGUGUAUGUACAUGUGAAAGAGAAAUAUUGUUGUAAUUUGUGAGGAGUGUUCAUAUG